rnacentral:lncRNA from 1 species
UCCCUUUCUCCCUUUCUCAGUCUUCUUCCUCUAGCCCAAGAAAACUGAAUAGAGCAAGCUCCAUCUGCCGGCCAAAAUCCCCGAGCUCCACCCCACCAUUCUCAAAUCGCCGCUGCCUGCACCUGCCUCACCUUCCCAGCUUCCUUCCCCACCACUUUUUUUCCCACCGCCAUGAUUCCAGGCAUCAACGAUUGAAAAUCCCGUGCCCACUCGAGCCGCCAACCCGCCAUGGCUGCCCUCCCGUGGAGCCCCUGCCUCUGGCCACUGUCUUGGCAAACCGACUGCGCAAAUCGAACUUCGGUGAUUCCCUGGUGCUCGUGCUCUGCAUGCCGCCGGGCGUGCGCCGCUGCCAAUCGCGGGUAGAGCUAAGGUUCGGGUUUUGAGGAAAAGAACAAGGGGAGCGGGUGCGCCUAGACUUAGGGAGACUCUUGGGGUAGUCAUUGAGGUGCGCGGUGCGGCCGCCGGGCCGGCAGUUCCUCGCCGCCGCCGCCCACUGUGGGCACUCGGGUGCCUAAGGUUGAAGAAGGAGAGGAGGGCACGGGUGUGAAGGAAAUAGAAGCUUAGGGGGUUAUUGGUAAAAGGUUAGGGUUUAAGUGUUAGGUGGGAAACUUUGAAGGGGCCUAAGCGCUAUAUCCAAGGGCGGUUUUGUAAAGGGUAGGGUAGAUCUGCUGGUAAAGUUGACGUAGCUGCAAAAGUAGUUCUUCUUUUUCGUCCUUAGUCCAGUUAAAAGGGCUGAAACUUGUGAAAUCCUUACAAAAUUGUAGAAAAAUGAGACAAAUGCAAACUAAAUUUUUUGGUUUCUUCUACCUAUUAAAAAUACUUGCUCCUGCAAAAUAUGUGCUUCUAUUGCUCAUUAAAAUGCAUGUUGUUUGACCUCCUUAAUUUAGAAUAAAUAGCUCCGUACUCCUAAAAUCCUAAUAAAUUCAUAUAAUCUACCUUAUUGUUGAAAACUAUUCUGGAAAGUUUGUAGCACUGAAUUGCUGAUAGAACUCUAGUUAUAAUUCAUUCUUCAUAUCAGCAGAUUUACAAUGCUUGAUUUUUAAUAAAUUCUGUAGUAGCCCAAUCAAGCUAAAAUCUUUACAGUAAAUUGUUUGUGUGAUGAGAGAGCUCCUGUAAAUGAUUAAUGUUUAUAUAACAGCAAAUGUUUCCUUAGCAAUUAUUCUUUCUGUAAGCUAGUAUUUGAUUAAAAAUACUUGCAAUUAUUUUUAUACUCUUUAUCGGUAGCAUAUUCAUCCCUAAAAAGGCUGCUAGCAAAAUAUUUAUGGUUACUUGCAUAGAUCAUUUGUUUAGUCUCUGGCAUGUUGUCACCACAGUUCCAUUCAGGAACAUGUGUUACUUAGAUCUUGCCACUAUCAUGGCAUGCUAAUCACUUUUUAGGACCUGAUAUUCAUACCAUGCUGCAAACCAAGUUACUGAAAUUUCGAGAGUUGUAUGUUUCACGGGAAAACUCUAGUAGUUCUUUUUAUAUCAAUCAUACUUAUGUGUAGAUAACAAUGUGUUUCUAUGCUCUACUUGGAACUUUUAAUCAUGUAUGAUUGAGUUGCUGCACUCUUUAAACCGGAUGUUAGGCAUGUGUUAUCAUCUUUCAAUCAACUCAUAUAUAUGCAUUGUCGUGUAGAUAACCCACUAGCCGACGGUUUGUACGAUUUGAUCGCCGCGCUGAGAGUGAGCAGCUCGAAGCUUCUCAAGUUGAAGCGCCACAAGACCUGAACCAAAGUUUAGAAGAGCCCAAGGCUAGUUUGGAAGGCAAGCACCAGAGCAUGAUCACUGAUUUCAAAACUAUGCAAUAUUCUUACUUAAGUAAUUUUAUGCAUUUAAGUUCCUAGGUGUUGAAUGAAACCAUAGUUGCAUGAUCCUUAGGAAUUCUAAGUCAAAUAAUAGUAUGUGUAGGUCUUUAGAAAGGCCAUGCUUAAUUAAGAACUCGCGAGAUAUAGG